UAAAUUAUAUGCCUGAUAAAAGGGUUAAUUUGAUAGAUUAAAUAAUGAGAAAUUUUAGUA
rnacentral:tRNA from 2 species